rnacentral:rRNA from 1 species
GAAGGUGUACUGUGAGGUAUGCUGGAGGUAUCAGAAGUGCGAAUGCUGACAUAAGUAACGAUAAAGCGGGUGAAAAGCCCGCUCGCCGGAAGACCAAGGGUUCCUGUCCAACGUUAAUCGGGGCAGGGUGAGUCGACCCCUAAGGCGAGGCCGAAAGGCGUAGUCGAUGGGAAACAGGUUAAUAUUCCUGUACUUGGUGUUACUGCGAAGGGGGGACGGAGAAGGCUAUGUUGGCCGGGCGACGGUUGUCCCGGUUUAAGCGUGUAGGCUGGUUUUCCAGGCAAAUCCGGAAAAUCAAGGCUGAGGCGUGAUGACGAGGCACUACGGUGCUGAAGCAACAAAUGCCCUGCUUCCAGGAAAAGCCUCUAAGCAUCAGGUAACAUCAAAUCGUACCCCAAACCGACACAGGUGGUCAGGUAGAGAAUACCAAGGCGCUUGAGAGAACUCGGGUGAAGGAACUAGGCAAAAUGGUGCCGUAACUUCGGGAGAAGGCACGCUGAUAUGUAGGUGAAGUCCCU